UACGGAGGAUCCAAGCGUUAUCCGGAUUCAUUGGGUUUAAAGGGUGCGUAGGCGGACUGAUAAGUCAGCGGUGAAAUCCCACGGCUCAACUGUGGAACUGCCGUUGAUACUGUUAGUCUUGAAUGCAGAUGAUGUGGGCGGAAUAUGACAUGUAGUGGUGAAAUACUUAGAUAUGUCAUAGAACACCGAUUGCGAAGGCAGCUCACAAAACUGUGAUUGACGUUCAGGCACGAAAGCGUGGGGAGCAAACAGG
rnacentral:rRNA from 1 species